rnacentral:miRNA from 1 species
UAGAAGUGAUGUCACAUGCAUG